UUCUGAAAAGAAAUUGGCUAUUCUAUUUAUUCUACCUUUUGCAUUAUGGUUUAACAAAAAGUCUCAAUAUAUUAAUUGUUUCCCGAAAAAGAAAUAUUUAUAUUAACUUUCCUUUAGAGAAUUUCAAUUAUUGUUGCAAUAAUAAUAUAAAAUUUUAAUAUAGGGGUGAAAAGCAACAUUUUCUUAGAUAGCUGGAUUAACCCGAAAAAUAUUUAGUAUUGAUGUUAUUAAGGAAGUAUUAAGAUUUCCUUAAUCUGUUGAUCAAAAUUAUUCUUGUUCUUAAAAAGAUAAUCUCUUUUAUACAUGACUAUGCUCAAAUUUAUUUUUUCUAUUUCACUUAUUGUAGGUUUAAAAAUUUAUUAUAAAUUUUUAUUAUGUUAAAAUUAGUAUUUUAAAAAUUAAAAGCAUAUGAACUCGGCAAUAUGCUCCUCAACUGUUUAACAAAAACAUAGCUUUUAGUUAUUUAUUAAAAGUUGCCCCUGCCCAGUGCUUAAGUAAACGGCUGCGGUACUCUGACCGUACAAAGGUAGCAUAAUCAGUUGGCCUUUAAUUGGGGUCUGGAAUGAAUGGGAAUUUGGGGAGCUACUAUAUUUGCUUUUUACUUAGAACUUAAUAGAAAAGUGUAAAAACUUUAUUUUAGAAAAAAGACGAGAAGACCCUUAGAAUUUUUACUAUUUUAAAAUUAAUGUUUUUGUUGGGGCAACAUCUAAUCAUAUAAAAAUUAGAAAAUAACAUUUUUUAUUUAUAUAUACAAAUUACCUUAGGGAUAACAGCUUAAUAAAAUUUUUGUUUGUGACCUCGAUGUUGGACUAGGAAUUUUAAAGACUAAAAGUUUUUAAAAAAUGUUCUGUUCGAACAAUUUUUUCCUACAUGAUCUGAGUUCAGACCGGCGUAAGCCAGGUCAGAUUCUAUCUUUUUAUUGAGUAAAGUAGUACGAAAGGAUUCUUUACUUUUUAGG
rnacentral:rRNA from 1 species